rnacentral:rRNA from 1 species
UACGAAGGGGGCUAGCGUUGCUCGGAAUCACUGGGCGUAAAGCGCACGUAGGCGGAUCCUUAAGUCGGGGGUGAAAUCCUGGAGCUCAACUCCAGAACUGCCUUCGAUACUGAGGAUCUCGAGUCCGGGAGAGGUGAGUGGAACUCCGAGUGUAGAGGUGAAAUUCGUAGAGAUCAUGAGGAAGACCAGUGGCGAAGGCGGGUCUCUGGACAGUUCCUGACACUGAGGCACGAAGGCCAGGGGAGCAAACGGG